ACUUGAUAAACGCUGAAUUUUCCGAUGAAAAGCGGGGGAACCAAUCGCAGUCCUCGCCCCACGGAGCUUUAUGCUGGGGCUUGCGGCUUGCAGGGGUGAAUCGGAGGCAGGAUAAUGCCUGUUUCCGUAGGGCUACUCUCACGGCCCGAAUCCGUCAGCUAACCUCGUAAGCGUAGUUGAGAGCGGAG
rnacentral:sRNA from 1 species